AAUAGACGUUCUCUACAGGAGGAAGGAUGAAAAGAAAAAAGCUAACAGAUUGAAUGGACUGCUAGCCUUGGUCUACAGAGGCUAUUAGGAUGGUUUCUACGGCAGACAGGUACUAGAUCAAACCAUGGUCAAUACCAGCAUGUUCUAAGCCAGAUUGGAAAGAAGUAAGUGCAGAUAAGUCACUGCAAGCAGAUGGCAUCCACCUGAGAGAGCUGCGGGAGCUCAUGGAUGAAAUUGGGAUGGUUGGUUGGCAGGAGUGUGGGACAUGUCAGCGCAAAUGGCCCCUGUGCUGGAGAGGAUGCCGGCUCACAGAUGUGACCCCGGCCAUAAGAGCGCCUCGGCAGGGCCUGGGGAACGAGGGCACAGAUGAGUCGGCUCUCAGCCUCCAUCUGGACCAAGCUGGUGGCAAGUGGAAUAAAGAAGAGAAGGCUGUGGACUUAAAAAUAACCUACAGGGUGAGGAAUGAAUGGGCUGUGGGAGCAAGAAUGGUCACACAGGUGUGCCCAGAGAAAUCACACCCGAUGGCUGCACUGGAGUCCUCCUAGGCCGGAGAGGCGGGAAGUGAAAAGAUAUUAAUUAGCAGUGAUUUCAACAAGAUUGGAAGUCCGUGGACUUUGGCUCAGAGAGAACUCUGCAAAGGUACCUACAUCCUUCAGAGGGUUUUUCUUUUUUUUUUUUUGCUUUUAAUGGCAUUUUGUUGUUUGCUAAUCCCUGGUGUGGGCAUGUACUAGA
ensembl:lncRNA